rnacentral:rRNA from 1 species
GACGAACGCUGGCGGCGUGCUUAACACAUGCAAGUCGAACGGAAAGGCCCUGCUUUUGUGGGGUGCUCGAGUGGCGAACGGGUGAGUAACACGUGAGUAACCUGCCCUUGACUUUGGGAUAACUUCAGGAAACUGGGGCUAAUACCGGAUAGGAGCUCCUGCUGCAUGGUGGGGGUUGGAAAGUUUCGGCGGGUGGGGAUGGACUCGCGGCUUAUCAGCUUGUUGGUGGGGUAGUGGCUUGCCAAGGCUUUGACGGGUAGCCGGCCUGAGAGGGUGACCGGCCACCUUGGGCCUGCGAUACGGCCCAGACUCCUACGGGAGGCAGCAGUGGGGAAUAUUGCACAAUGGGAGGAAGCCGGAUGCAGCAACGCCGCGUUCGGGAUGACGGCCUUCGGGUUGUAAACCGCUUUCGCCUGUGACGAAGCGUGAGUGACGGUAAUGGGUAAAGAAGCACCGGCUAACUACGUG